AACGAACGCUGGCGGCAGGCCUAACACAUGCAAGUCGAACGGAACCUUCGGGACUAGUGGCGCACGGGUGCGUAACGCGUGGGAACGUGCCCUUUGGUUCGGAACAACUCCGGGAAAGGUGAGCUAAUACCGGAUGAGCUCUUCGGGGGAAAGAUUUAUCGCCUUUGGAUCGGCCCGCGUUUGAUUAGCUAGUUGGUAGGGUAAAGGCCCACCAAGGCGACGAUCCGUAGCUGGUCUGAGAGGAUGAUCAGCCACACUGGGACUGAGACACGGCCCAGACUCCUACGGGAGGCAGCAGUGGGGAAUCUUGCGCAAUGGGCGAAAGCCUGACGCAGCCAUGCCGCGUGAAUGAUGAAGGUCUUAGGAUUGUAAAAUUCUUUCAGCGGGGAUGAUAAUGACGGUACCCGCAGAAGAAGCUCCGGCUAACUUCGUG
rnacentral:rRNA from 1 species